AAACGUAGUAUUGAAGUGGAAAAAAACC
rnacentral:sRNA from 1 species